rnacentral:snRNA from 1 species
GGAGGUGGUUGGGCUACGACAUCUGUCAGCCCACUGGACACCAGGGCUGACAGGGCGACUGGCUGCCGGUCCUCUUCCUCCCCCACCAGUCCCUGUGCGACCCUUCCCGGAAUAGAGAAGGACCAGUCGUCAGUCAAGGGCCUCUGGGUAGCUGCCGUCUCCUGCCCGAACCUGCAAACAAGCUCUCAAGAAAGGGCUAGAAUAGGCACAUCUAUGGAGACAGAAAAUUUAUUAUUU